AAAGCACCAAAGAAGGUCCUGGGACAGAAAUGCAGAAAUCCAGGGAACAGGUCCUUCAGACUGUCAACUGAGGUGUGUCUGAGUUCCCAGGGAACUGUCCACCACCGCUGAGGCUGAAAUCAGAAUUGGCUGGAGGAGAUGCGGAACACGGGAGCCACAGCACCUGGGACCUCUACCUAGAACUCUUCGACAAAAGUGAAAAUAGAUGAGCAUGGAUCCUGGCGGAUAAUAAGCAACUCAGUGCACUCAAUAAGUAAGGGCUGCAAGUAGGUGUGCUGAGUAACUUGUAACUCCACAAGUACUACAUGGUCAACUCAAAAUAACAGAAUCCAAUCUGGGAAUUGCACGUUACAUUUAGUUAUCAUAUCUUUUCAAUCCACACCUUUAAAGCAGUCUGGCUACUUACUGGGUAGAAAGUCCCUUGAUUUGGAUUUGUUGAUUUCUCCCAUGAUCGCAUGGAGGUUCUGCAUUAGAGAGUGUCUCUGUCAUAUUACCGACCAUCCAGCAAAACCCUCGUGUAUCACAGAAGCGGAAACUGCUACCCCAAGAAGUUGCUAAGUCAUGUCCAACUCUUUGCAACCCCAUGGACUGCAGCACGCCAGGCUUACCUGUUCUUUACCACUUCCUAGAAUUUGCUACAACUCGCGUCCAUUGAAUUGGUAAUGCUAUCUAACCAUCUCAUCCUCUGCCAACCCCUUCUCCUUUUGCCUUCAAUCUUUCCCAGCAUCAGGGUCUUUUCCAAUGAGCUGGCUCUUCGCAUCAGGUGGCUAAAGUACUGGAGCUUCAGCUUCAGCAACA